rnacentral:tRNA from 1 species
UGGACUGAAGCCAGUUGAUUAGGGCAUUUAGCUGUUAACUAAAAUUUCGUGGGGUUGGAGCCUACCAGUCUAG